GUGCUUGCUUGGGCAGCACGUAUACUAAAAUUGGAACGAUACAGAGAAGAUUAGCAUGGUGCCUGCACAAGGAUGACACUCAAAUUAGUGAAGCAUUCCAUAUUUUU
rnacentral:snRNA from 1 species